GGUCUCGUAGAUGAGCCACGCCAUGGCUUCCUCUCCCUACCCAGCUCCCGCGCCUGGGAAGACGGCCGCCCCGGCUCCCGCUCCUGCGAAGACAGCCACCACAGCCCCCCCUCCCGCUACUACGACCACCCCAGCUCCAGCUCCUGCGAACACGGCCGCCCCAGCUCCUGUGAAGACGGCCGCCCCAGCUCCAGCUCCUGCGAAGAUGGCCACCACAGCCCCCCCUCCCGCUAAGACGACCGCUCCAGCUCCCGCGAAGACCCCCACUCCAUCUUCAGCUCCUGCGAAGACGGCCACUCCAUCUUCAGCUCCUGCGAAGACGGCCACUCCAUCUUCAGCUCCUGCGAAGACGGCCACUCCAUCUUCAGCUCCUGCGAAGACGGCCACUCCAUCUUCAGCUUCUGCGAAGACGGCCACUCCAUCUUCAGCUCCUGCGAAGACGGCCCCUCCAUCUUCAGCUCCUGCGAAGACGGCCGCCCUGACUCCUGUGAAGACGGCCAUCCCAGCUCCAGCUCCAGCUCCAGCUCCAGCUCCAGCUCCAGCUCCAGCCCCAGCCCCAGCUCCCGCUAAGACAGCAGCUCCAGCUCCAGCCCCAGCCCCAGCUCCUGCAAUGAUGGCCGCCCCAGCUCCUGCUCCUGUGAAGAUAGCAGCCCCCGCUCCAGCCCCAGCUCCUGUGAAGACGGCCGCCCCAGAUUCAGCUCCUGCUCCUGUGAAGACAGCAGCCCCAGGUCCAGCUCCUGCGAAGAUGGCCACCACAGCCCCCACUCCCGCUAAGACGACCGCUCCAGCUCCCGCGAAGACGGCCACUCCAUCUUCAGCUCCCGCGAAGACGGCCACUCCAUCUUCAGCUCCCGCGAAGACGGCCACUCCAUCUUCAGCUCCCGCGAAGACGGCCACUCCAUCUUCAGCUCCCGCGAAGACGGCCACUCCAUCUUCAGCUCCCGCGAAGACGGCCACUCCAUCUUCAGCUCCCGCGAAGACGGCCGCCCCAGCUCUAGCCCCAGCUCCCGCGAAGACAGCAGCCCCCGCUCCUGCUCCUGUGAAGACAGCAGCCCCCGCUCCUGCUCCUGUGAAGACAGCCGCCCCAGCUCCUGCGAAGACGGCCGCCCCAGCUCCCGCUCCCGCGAAGACGGCAGCCCCAGCUCCAGCUCCUGUGAAGACAGCGGCUCCAGCUCCAGCUCCUGUGAAGACGGCCGCCCCAGCUCCAGCUCCUGCGAAGACAGCAACUCCAGCUCCUGCGAAGACGGCAACCCCAGCUCUUGCUGUACUCUUCCAUAGAUUUGUGUAG
rnacentral:lncRNA from 1 species